rnacentral:rRNA from 1 species
AUACGGACCGGAGAUUCGUCGAAGGAUCGUAUGACUAGUGGCGGACGGGUGAGUAAUGUAUGAGCAACCUGCCUUUCAGAGGGGGACAACAGUUGGAAACGACUGCUAAUACCGCGUAACGUAUCGUGGGGGCAUCCUCGUGAUACCAAAGGAGCAAUCCGCUGAAAGAUGGGCUCAUAUCUGAUUAGCUGUUGGCGGGGUAACGGCCCACCAAGGCGACGAUCAGUAGCCGGACUGAGAGGUUGAACGGCCACAUUGGGACUGAGAUACGGCCCAGACUCCUACGGGAGGCAGCAGUGGGGAAUAUUGGGCAAUGGGCGAAAGCCUGACCCAGCAACGCCGCGUGAAGGAAGAAGGUCUUCGGAUUGUAAACUUCUUUUAUGAGGGACGAAGGACGUGACGGUACCUCAUGAAUAAGCCACGGCUAACUACGUGCCAGCCGCCGC